rnacentral:rRNA from 1 species
AUCCCGCCGGAGGCGACCGCUGUGGAGUCCGAUUAAGCCAUGCGAGUCGAGAGAAUAAGAUUCUCGGCAUACCGCUCAGUAACACGUGGAUAACUGCCUGUGCUGGGGGAUAACCUCGCGAAAGUGAGAACAAUACCCCAUGGGUCACUAUGCCUGGAACGGUUAGUGGCUGAAAGCUCCGGCGGCACAGGAUGGGUCUGCGGCGUAUCAGGUCGUAGGGGGUGUAACGUACCUCCUAGCCUUCGACGCGUACGGGUUGUGAGAGCAAUUGCCCGGAGAUGGAUUCUGAGACACGAAUCCAGGCCCUACGGGGCGCAGCAGGCGCGAAAACUUGACAAUGCGAGAAAUCGUGAUCAGGGGACUCCAGUUGGCUGGAUCAAAAGUCCAGUCUGAACCGACUUUAAAUCGGUCGGGUAAUAGGGGCGGGAAAGACCGGUGCCAGCCGCCGCGGUAAUACCGGCGCCCCAAGUGGUCGUCACUAUUAUUGGGCCUAAAACGUCCGUAGCCGGUUUGGUAAAUCCGUGGGUAAAUCAGACAGCCCAACUGUCUGAAUUCUGCGGGGACUGCCGGACUUGAGACCGGGAGAGGUGCGGGGUACUUGCGGGGUACCGGUAAAAUGGGAUCAUCCCGUAGAGACCACCUGUUGCGAAGGCGCCGCACUAGAACGGAUCUGACGGUCAGGGACGAAGCCUAGGGGCACGAACCGGAUUAGAUACCCGGGUAGUCCUAGGUGUAAACGCUGUGGACUUGGUGUCGGGGACCUUCUGAGGGUUUCCGGUGCCGGAGUGAAGGUGAUAAGUCCACUGCCUGGGGAGUACGGUCGCAAGUAUGAAACUUAAAGGAAUUGGCGGGGGAGCACCACAAGGGGUGAAGCCUGCGGUUCA